GGAGGUUCUCAGAUGACACACCUCAGAAUUGGGCUCCCUCCUCUCUGGUUCCGGGGUGCAUCACCCAAGAACUGCC
rfam:Myotis brandtii contig316358, whole genome shotgun sequence.